rnacentral:rRNA from 1 species
UUAGUGGAAGCGUCUGGAAAGGCGCGCGAUACAGGGUGACAGCCCCGUACACAAAAGCGCAUGUGUUGUGAGCUCGAUGAGUAGGGCGGGACACGUGGUAUCCUGUCUGAAUAUGGGGGGACCAUCCUCCAAGGCUAAAUACUCCUGACUGACCGAUAGUGAACCAGUACCGUGAGGGAAAGGCGAAAAGAACCCCGGCGAGGGGAGUGAAAAAGAACCUGAAACCGUGUACGUACAAGCAGUGGGAGCACCCUUUGGGGUGUGACUGCGUACCUUUUGUAUAAUGGGUCAGCGACUUAUAUUCUGUAGCAAGGUUAACCGUAUAGGGGAGCCGGAGGGAAACCGAGUCUUAACCGGGCGUUAAGUUGCAGGGUAUAGACCCGAAACCCGGUGAUCUAGCCAUGGGCAGGUUGAAGGUUGGGUAACACUAACUGGAGGACCGAACCGACUAAUGUUGAAAAAUUAGCGGAUGACCUGUGGCUGGGGGUGAAAGGCCAAUCAAACCGGGAGAUAGCUGGUUCUCCCCGAAAGCUAUUUAGGUAGCGCCUCGUGAAUUCAUCUCCGGGGGUAG